rnacentral:rRNA from 1 species
GUGGGGAAUAUUGCGCAAUGGGGGAAACCCUGACGCAGCGACGCCGUGUGAGGGAAGAAGGCUUUCGGGUUGUAAACUUCUUUUAUGAGGGACGAAGAAGUGACGGUACCUCAUGAAUAAGCCACGGCUAACUACGUGCCAGCAGCCGCGGUAAUACGUAGGUGGCAAGCGUUGUCCGGAUUUACUGGGUGUAAAGGGCGCGUAGGCGGGAUAGCAAGUCAGGUGUGAAAUCCGGGGGCUUAACCCUCGAACUGCACUUGAAACUGUUAUUCUUGAGUGAUGGAGAGGCAAGCGGAAUUCCUAGUGUAGCGGUGAAAUGCGUAGAUAUUAGGAGGAACACCAGUGGCGAAGGCGGCUUGCUGGACAUUAACUGACGCUGAGGCGCGAAAGCGUGGGGAGCAAACAGGAUUAGAUACCCCGGUAGUCC